rnacentral:rRNA from 1 species
CCUACGGGAGGCAGCAGUAAGGAAUAUUGGGCAAUGGAGGCAACUCUGACCCAGCCAUGCCGCGUGGAGGAUGAAGGUCCUCUGGAUUGUAAACUUCUUUUAUAUGGGACGAAAAAGGGCCUUUCUAGGUCAACUGACGGUACCAUAUGAAUAAGCACCGGCUAACUCCGUGCCAGCAGCCGCGGUAAUACGGAGGGUGCAAGCGUUAUCCGGAUUCACUGGGUUUAAAGGGUGCGUAGGUGGGUUGGUAAGUCAGUGGUGAAAUCUCCGAGCUUAACUUGGAAACUGCCAUUGAUACUAUCAGUCUUGAAUAUUGUGGAGGUUAGCGGAAUAUGUCAUGUAGCGGUGAAAUGCUUAGAUAUGACAUAGAACACCAAUUGCGAAGGCAGCUGGCUACACAUAUAUUGACACUGAGGCACGAAAGCGUGGGGAUCAAACAGGAUUAGAUACCCCUGUAGUC